UACGUAGGGACCAAGCGUUGUUCGGAUUUACUGGGCGUAAAGGGCGCGUAGGCGGCGUGACAAGUCACUUGUGAAAUCUCUGGGCUUAACCCAGAACGGCCAAGUGAAACUGUCGUGCUAGAGUGCGGAAGGGGCAAUCGGAAUUCUCGGUGUAGCGGUGAAAUGCGUAGAUAUCGAGAGGAACACCUGAGGUGAAGACGGGUUGCUGGGCCGACACUGACGCUGAGGCGCGAAAGCUAGGGGAGCGAACGGG
rnacentral:rRNA from 1 species